UACAGAGGGUGCGAGCGUUAAUCGGAAUUACUGGGCGUAAAGCGCGCGUAGGCGGUUAUGGAAGUCGGAUGUGAAAGCCCCGGGCUUAACCUGGGAACUGCAUUCGAUACUCCAUGGCUAGAGUCUGGGAGAGGGAAGGGGAAUUCCGGGUGUAGCGGUGAAAUGCGUAGAUAUCCGGAGGAACACCAGUGGCGAAGGCGCCUUCCUGGCCUAAGACUGACGCUGAGGUGCGAAAGCGUGGGGAGCAAACAGG
rnacentral:misc_RNA from 1 species